ensembl:snoRNA snoRNA:Tudor-SN-a
ACUGCAAGUUCCUUAGAUCCGUUUCCGGCUUGAAGUGAAACGCAUGAGUCAUAAGCUUGCCACAUUAAAUAGGCUUCAUCGAAUGAUUUUAUAAGAUUCGUGAUGGCGUAAGCAAACCCUACAGCUGCGUUAAAUGCGUUCGCCGUUUCAAGUCGUGUGGCAUCCUCUUCAACGGUGCAAAGGUAGUUCCAUAUUUUUUGGGUCAACCAUUGUCCAAAGUAGCAGGUUUAAAAUACGCGAGAAACAAGAGCACUGAGUAGCUGGGGGCGCCAGAACCACGCUUCAAAAGUAUUCGAGUUGCGACACACUCA